AGAUCUGGAAAGAGGUAAUGGGAUACAAAAGAAAACAAUGAGAAAGUGGAAUGAGUGAUGAUCAACCCAUGUUAGUACAAUAAAGGAAAGUCAUAUCACCAAUGAUGGAAUGGUGGGUAUAAGACAAUGAUCCAGAGACCCUAGUAAAAAAAAGAUUACUCAUCUCUCAUACCUAGUAUAUAUCAAACAUGAUCCAAAAAAACAUAGGAUCUCACAGAACUCUCGCAUGAACCCUCAAUACUCCAAAUGCGUAACAAGAGUGGCUCAAGGAGUGAAAACUCAUAUAAACAUCUCACAAGAACCCACAAUGUCAAAUAUACCCAGUGAACAGACCUCAAAAGGUGAUAUAAGUACCCAAUGGAGUAAGAUGCCAUAUACAAACAUAUCAUUGCGCUUUUUCUUUCUUUUUUUUUUCUUCUUUUUUUUUUCAUUUUUUUGUUUUUUUUUUUUUUGUUUUUGUUUCUUUUCUUCUUUUUUUUUUUUUUUUUUUUUUUUUUUUUUUUUUUGCGCAUGCUCUAAUCAUCAAUAAAUCAAACUCCAAUGGGAAAUAUAUAAGGAAUGAACAAACUCUCUGAAAUCACUAGUGAAUACAUGAACCCCAUCCCAUGAGAUAAUCUCUCAAACCAAAAUCUCCGAAUCAAUGUCAAAUGAUGGAAUGAAUAGAGUGAUAUGACUGUCUUUUUUGCACUAAGAUGUGAAGAAUCAUCAACCCAAGAAAGAGACGUGAUAAAAUGAAUCAAAUAAUGAUAGAGACAAUAAGGAGAAUGGAAAUGUGAUGAUAGUAAAAUAGAACAAACGGGGUGAUAAGGAGAUGAUGGGAAGAAUGAGAAGAUAGGUCUAUAAGUCUAAAGCUCAUGAGACUUUCAUAGCAAAACAUGCAUAUACAUCAAAGGGCCCCAACCCGGGUAUAGAAAUGGUAAUCAAAGCUAUAAGAAAGAAAUAAGGCUAUAACAUACCACGCGAAGCUCAAUGGGCUAGCAACGGUCUAAUAUAUAGAGGUGAUAAAGUAUGAGGCUAACCGAAAUGAUGGCCACCCAUCCU
rnacentral:lncRNA from 1 species